UACGUAGGGUGCGAGCGUUGUCCGGAAUUAUUGGGCGUAAAGAGCUCGUAGGCGGUUCGUCGCGUCGGCUGUGAAAACCCGGAGCUCAACUCCGGGCCUGCAGUCGAUACGGGCGGACUUGAGUGUUGCAGGGGAGACUGGAAUUCCUGGUGUAGCGGUGAAAUGCGCAGAUAUCAGGAAGAACACCCGUGGCGAAAGCGGCUCUCUGGAACGGUACUGACGCUGAGACGCGAAAGCGUGGGGAGCGAACAGG
rnacentral:rRNA from 1 species